GAUGAACGCUGGCGGCGUGCCUAACACAUGCAAGUCGAACGGCAGCACGAGGAGCUUGCUCCUUGGUGGCGAGUGGCGGACGGGUGAGUAACGCGUAGGAAUCUACCCUAUAGUAGGGGACAACCCGGGGAAACUCGGGCUAAUACCGCAUAAUCUCUACGGAGGAAAGCGGGGGACCUUUCGAGGCCUCGCGCUGUAGGAUGGGCCUGCGUCGGAUUAGCUUGUUGGUGGGGUAAUGGCCUACCAAGGCGACGAUCCGUAGCUGGUUUGAGAAGAUGAUCAGCCACACUGGGACUGAGACACGGCCCAGACUCCUACGGGAGGCAGCAGUGGAGAAUAUUGGACAAUGGGGGCAACCCUGAUCCAGCAAUGCCGCGUGUGUGAAGAAGGCCUUCGGGUUGUAAAGCACUUUCAGUGGGGAAGAAAGAACCAAGAUUAAUACUCUUGGGAGUUGACGUUACCCACAGAAGAAGCACUGGCUAACUCUGUG
rnacentral:rRNA from 1 species